rnacentral:sRNA from 1 species
CACAGGCUCCCCCAGACGCCCUGGCCAGGCCAGGCAUGUGCCCACUUGCAAGUCUUUAUCCUUCUCUUAGGUUCCCUCUGGCAUGCACUUUUCUCCUUCACCUGCCCAAUCCCAGACAUCCUCAGAAUCUAGCAUCUGGUGACACUUCUGUGACACUUUCCCUGAUCCCCAGCCAGAGGGAACUGCUCCCCGCUCCUGAGCUCCCUGAGCCCCUUUCCACACAGAACACUUGGACCGUUGUAUUGCCCCUGGUUGUGUUGGGCCCAUGACCCUCACUGGACUGUGAGCUCCUUGAGGACAGGGGCACCCACUUUUUCAUCUUGGGGAAUCAGAGUCCACAUGGUGCUGCGUGCGCUGUUGAGGCCUCUGUGCAGCCCGGGCCCAUGUCUGCUGGGAUGGGGGGAAAGGUAGUGAGGUAGGUGGGGAGGAGGCAGGGGGUCUGAUGGAGUAGAAUACAACAGGCAGCUUUCACAGUGGAUUGAAGCUGUGCUUUCAGUUCAGCACAUGCUACUGAGCCCCUGCCAUGCCAGCCCCUGGGUCAGCACUGGAGAAGAUGCCCUGUCCCUUCCUCAUGGGGCAGCAAGGAAAGGGGAUGCUUUGCAGAUGAAGACAGAUCCUCCUGGGGAGGCGACGUGUGGCACAUAUGCAGUUAGACAGGGACAGAUUGGGCCCAGAAGCCAGCUGUCCUGUUUCCAGCAGUCACCAGGACCCUUGACCCAGGGCCUGGUCUCCACGGGUGGGGCAAAGCCCUGCUGACUUUAUUGUGGGGCGGGGGGGGGCGCUGGUUUCCAGGGCAGCGAAGGGAUUCGAGGCCCAUCAGGCCUGCCUGGCUCCCCUGGGCCACCGGGACCUCCUGGGAUUCAGGGCCCCGCCGGUCUGGAUGGUUUGGAUGGGAAGGACGGCAAGCCUGGUUUGAGGGGGGAUCCUGGUCCUGCUGGCCCCCCUGGACUCAUGGGACCACCGGGCUUUAAGGGGAAAACAGGACAUCCUGGCCUCCCAGGACCUAAGGGUGACUGUGGCAAACCAGGUCCCCCUGGCAGCACUGGCCGGCCUGGCGCAGAGGGUGAACCUGGUGCCACGGGACCCCAGGGAAGACCCGGUCCCCCGGGACACGUUGGGCCACCAGGGCCUCCAGGCCAGCCAGGACCAGCUGGGAUCUCUGCAGUGGGUCUGAAAGGAGACCGAGGAGCCACCGGAGAAAGGGGCCUUGCAGGCCUCCCAGGCCAGCCCGGCCCCCCUGGACACCCUGGCCCCCCAGGCGAACCUGGUACGGAUGGUGCAGCUGGCAAAGAGGGACCCCCUGGAAAGCAGGGAUUCUAUGGACCUCCUGGUCCCAAGGUGAGUGGGCACUGGCUGGGCUUGAGAGGAGAAGCUCACGAGUGGAUGAAGCCCAGCUGCAAGUUACGGCUUUAGCCACAGAGAGGAGACACAGGAAGGCCAGUGGGCAGGGGGAAAAAAUGCAGAACUUGGAGCAGGAUAGUGUCUGAAAAUUUCUCACAUGGGGUCAUUAGCUGUGGUUGGGGGGAAGGAAAUCUCCAGUUCAUUUACUCACUGAUUGACUGAUUGAUUCAUUCAUUGUUUCCAUUUCCCGAGCACUCCCUUGCUCCUGCUCACAUUCCAGGCCCUUGUCCUGGCCUCAGGGUGAUCCAGGAGCUGCAGGACAGAAGGGCCAGGCAGGAGAGAAGGGGAGAGCCGGCAUGCCUGGUGGACCUGGCAAGAGUGGUUCCAUGGGGCCUGUUGGGCCACCGGGCCCUGCAGGAGAGAGAGGCCACCCUGGAGCUCCGGGGCCUUCGGGGAGCCCUGGCUUGCCUGGUGUGCCUGGCUCCAUGGGAGACAUGGUGAAUUAUGAUGAAAUCAAGAGGUUCAUCAGACAAGAGAUCAUUAAAAUGUUUGAUGAGAGAAUGGCUUACUACACCUCCAGGAUGCAGUUCCCCAUGGAGAUGGCGGCAGCUCCGGGACGACCAGGGCCUCCAGGGAAGGAUGGUGCUCCGGGCAGGCCAGGUGCUCCAGGGUCACCUGGGCUCCCUGGUCAGAUUGGCAGAGAAGGACGGCAGGGCUUGCCAGGAGUAAGAGGACUGCCUGGUACCAAAGGUGAAAAAGGGGACAUUGGUAUUGGCAUUGCAGGAGAAAAUGGUCUUCCCGGCCCCCCAGGUCCUCAAGGUCCUCCAGGCUAUGGCAAGAUGGGUGCAACAGGACCAAUGGGCCAGCAAGGCAUCCCUGGCAUCCCUGGGCCCCCGGGUCCCAUGGGCCAGCCAGGCAAGGCUGGCCACUGUAAUCCCUCUGACUGCUUUGGGGCCAUGCCGAUGGAGCAGCAGUACCCACCCAUGAAAACCAUGAAGGGGCCUUUUGGCUGAAAUUCCCCACCUGCCUUUGGAUGAAGGACUCCGUUGGGAAUAAAUGGCCAAAGCUUAUAGGAC